rnacentral:rRNA from 1 species
UACGUAGGGUGCAAGCGUUGUCCGGAAUUAUUGGGCGUAAAGAGCUCGUAGGUGGCCUGUCGCGUCGGCUGUGAAAACUCGGGGCUCAACUCCGAGCUUGCAGUCGAUACGGGCAGGCUAGAGUUCGGCAGGGGGAGACUGGAAUUCCUGGUGUAGCGGUGAAAUGCGCAGAUAUCAGGAGGAACACCGAUGGCGAAGGCAGCUGCCUGGCCUAGAACUGACGCUGAGGUGCGAAAGCGUGGGGAGCGAACAGG